CUUUCUUAUCACUGUAAGCAUAUCUCAGUACCACAUUCCUUCCCUCUAAACAAUGUAACUCUGCAAAAACAACAUUUCUAUUCCUACAACAGGUAACUAAUAUUUUGUAGUAAUUGUUAUAAGUUACGUGUGGCUUAAAUGGUUGUCCAGCAUUAUAGUAUCCCAUGCUGACUGAUUUUCAGAAGUAAUUGCUUUGUCCUAGUGGAAUUAGACAUAACUAGGAUGAGUAGGAUGCAGGUUUGAUGUAGCCGCUAGUUUCAGUCAAGCAGUGCUCUAGCUUUCUUGUAAAUGUGACAACGUUCUGCCUCUUCUCCAUGUAACAUGUUUAAUAAGUACAUAAUCUGUAUCAAGAGCAGUUAUUUGAAAAUCAAUAUUUAAUUUAUAUUAUUAAAUUUUAAGCGUUUUUUUAAUCUGUUUUAACUCCUCAUAUAGCAAAGGCUUGCCCUUCAAUAUAUAAUCCUGCAAGUACCUAAGGCCUGCCUAAUUUGCUUUUCCACAGCCGGUAACUUUACACUAAUUACACUUCAUUUUUGUCAGGAAAACCUAGUGUAAGAGGUAUUCACUAGCCAUUUAACAGCCAUAUGAACUGUAGUUUUGGCAGUGGUAUCAACACAUUUUCAUGUUUUUAGCAUAUAUUAAAUCCUUGAUAGCUAGCUGCCUUUGAUACUUCUGUCAUAGGGUAUUACGUGAUAGAGAGAGGGGUAAGAACACCUAGAGCAAGGGGGAUGAGUGGAAUUGCUGCUUUGGGCAGGUACCUCUCCCUGUAUGUUCUAGCACUAUUACAAAAGACUUAGGGUUUUUAUUGCAGACAAUCCAGUAACCAAACAGCCCAGUAACACUACUUCUACUUAUUCAAGCAUCUUCCUUUCAAAUUUUCUUUUCAAUUUUCUUUCAAAUUCUACUUUUCAAGCGUCCUACUCCAUAUCCCUCUGAGUUCUUACAAUGCCCUGGCUCAAGGAGAACCCCAUCCCCCCCUCCCCUCCUGAGCUCACACAGCUGAAGCUGCUAAUUACAGCUGAUUAUCAAUACAAAGCAGGUGGGAAGCCACAGGAACUUCAGUCUCGUGUCUUUUCUAUGCAGUGGCUGAUCUCUGGUGUUACAGAUCUCUAGUAAUACAGAUAUUUAUUGGAUUUCACAGAGCUCUUAUGUUUUAGUUUUGGACCUGUUUAAUGAAGCUACCUUGACAGCUGUAGCAGUGCAUUACCUUUGCAAGCAAGUGCAGGCCAUGCAGCUCUGGGAGGGGGGGCAGUCAUUCUGUUGACACUCAGGAGUUGCAGAAGAGGACAAGAGGAGGAUGAGAGUGGGGAUGCCUCAAAAAGCAAAUACUGAAAGAGGUGGAGUUGCAUGAACCAGUUUGUCAUUGGAUCUCCAUUGUACUCUCCCAACCUUCUAUAUAAUCCAUGGAUAUGACCUAAAGAAAGCAGACCUUUGGAAUGCUUCCAUACAGGUUACACAAGGUUUUGCAACUUUAUUCACUCCAUGCCUAUGCAGAUCUACUAAAGUUGCCUUUUGAUCCAAGAUGUCAAUAUCUGUGUCCACUGGGUGUUAAAGAUAAACAAAAUUUGCAGAUUGAACCCUGAUACAGGAAGAAAUACUUAGCCCAAGACUUUCCUGUUGCUGCCCAAAAAUUAGUAGAUAAAAGCACCUCCUAAUGUUUUUGUGGUUUCUCCCCUUCAUGUUCCUAUUCCUUUAAUUCUGGGA